rnacentral:lncRNA from 1 species
GGCGGUUCAAUUUCAAGAUGAGGGAUUACAGCAAUAUCAAAUACUACCGAUGUGAUGAGUUGGGGCAUCAUGUCAGAAAUUAUCCUCAACUCAAGGAUCGGACGAUGGCUACUAUAACAGCAGCUAGUAGCGACACUGAGAUCGUUGAUGUGCUUAUGAUCUCAGAUGAGGUAUCUGCUCUUUUUCAGUAGUGGAUUUUAAACUCUGCUUGUUUCCAUCAUGUC